rnacentral:misc_RNA from 1 species
AAAGUCGUAACAAGGUAACCGUAGGUGAACCUGCGGUUGGAUCAUUAUCAAAUGCUUGGGUUUACAGCCCAAUCGACACCUGUGCACUAUACGUUUCUGGUAGACUCGUUCUACCAACAAAACACUUGUGAAUUAUCUGACGUGAAUUAUAACAAAAACAACUUUUGACAACGGAUCUCUUGGCUCUC